rnacentral:misc_RNA from 1 species
UUUGGUUUGUCACGUGUGGUUGGCUGCGGCGUUUGCAACAACUUCCAUGCUUUCAGACCUCUUCAGUUGUGCGGCAAGGCUUGUAUCGCCUUGCUGUAUUGUGGGUUUUCUGUGUUGAAUACCUAAUCAAUGGUAUCGGUUGGAUUGAUCAAUGUUUCAUUUCGCCUGUCGUCGCAUUCGCGGCGUGAGACGAACCUCGAUGCGGUCUCUUUGGCCCACCUCGUUGAAGCACAUGCUUUGACGUUGUGGCACAUUGAGCAUUGCUUGGUCUCUUGUAUACGGAACAUAUAGUGGGCAUGGAUCUAACGAUUCUUGUUUGCCCUCAUGUUAGCGUAACGCUUCUCUUACACGACUUGCUCCACGUUUUAG